AUGUCACAGGAUUGGACCAGUGAUAGUGAUGACGGUGAUAAGUUUGAGUGGGACAGUGAUAGUGAUGAUAGUGAUAAGUUUGAGUGGGAUAGUGAUAGUGAUGACAGUGAUAAGUUUGAGUGGGACAGUGAUGGUGAGGCUGAGCCCUCAUCGGCUCCGGCUAUGAGGAACUUCGAUGCUCCUGGCCCAUCCACAAGUUUGGAUGGGUGGAUCAACGGGGAAGCGCCGCCUACUUCUUUGAUCGAGGGAUAUGUGGCAAUGGGCUUCCCAAAAGAGAUGGUCGUGACGAGUAUCAAGGAGAUUGGACAUAGUGAUGCAGAUGCUCUGCUCGAGCUACUCCUCAUGUACAAGGCACUAGGUGAUGAUUAUGCAGUGGACAAUCACUCUAAUUUUGGCUGUAGCCCCCCUAGUGUUGAAGAUGAUGAUGGUCUUGAUUUUCAGAACUGGGAUGGCGAUGAUGAUACUGGUGGUAAAGAGUCAAGCUCUGAUGAUUCUGGUUAUGAGGAUUUUCUACGAGAGAUGUCAGACAAGGAUGAGAAGAUCAACUCAUUGCGAGGCAUGGGAUUUUCUGAAGAUGAAACAAACAUGGCUAUUACGAUAUGUGGUGUGGAUGCUGAUCUCUCUAUAUUGGUUGACUCAAUUAGUGCAUCACAUGUUAUAGAAGUUUGUCACUCUAGAAACUUAUCUGACCAUCAGAGAAAGAGAGCAAGAUUGAUUGAAGAGAGCAAGAAAAAGAGGAAGAGAUAUGGAGGUGGAGCACAAGGCAAACGACCUUCCUCGGAUGGCAGCGAUGAGGAAUCAAUGCCUCUCCCAAAUCCAAUGGUUGGGUUUAACUUUCCUGGUUAUAGGGGACCAUCAAUGACCCAAGUGCUUCUUGAACUAGCUACCGGACCACCUUAUUUCUACUAUGAAAAUGUGGCCCGAGCUCCAAAAGGUGUAUGGGCGAAAAUUACAAGGUUUUUGUUUGACAUUCAACCAGAGUUUGUGCAUUCUCUUCAUCUGUGUGAAGCUGCUAGGAAAAGGGGAUACAUCCAAAAUUUGCCAACCGAGAACAGAUCACCGCUUCCCCCUCUACCCCCAAAGACCAUAUUUGAGGCAUUCCCUGAUUACAAGAUGUGGUGGCCAUCCUGGGACCAGAGAACACACCUCAGUUGCUUGCAAACAUGUAUGGCAAGUGCAAAGGUGACAGAACGGAUCCAGCGCGCUCUUUCAAGCUCAGGCAAUCCACCACCUCAAAGUGUACAGAAAUAUGUCAGGCAUGAAUGCUCAAAAUGGAACCUUGUCUGGGUUGGCAAAAACAAGGUUGCUCCAUUGGAACCUCAUGAGAUGGAGUAUCUUCUUGGUUUCCCAAGGGAUCACACAAGAGGAGUCGGCAAGACACAGAGAUACAAGUCUCUCGGCAACUCAUUCCAUGUUGACAAAGUCGCUUACCACUUGUCAGUGUCAAGGGUCAUGUUUCCCAAUGGUGUUACUGUGUUGUCCUUGUUCACCGGUAUCGUAGGAGGAGAGGUUGCUUUGCACAAGCUUGGGAUCCACAUGAGGGUAGUAGUUUCUGUUGAGAUAUGCAAAGCUAAUAGGGAGAUUUUGAGGAGUUGGUGGGAUCAAACCCAGACAUGCACGUUGAUUGAGAUUGCUGAUGUGAAAUUCCUCAAGGAUGAUGAAAUUGCAUCAUACGUUAGUAGAUUUGGUGGCUUUUACUUGGUGAUUAGGGGCAGCCCAUGUAAUAAUCUUGCCGGAAGUAACCAACACCAUCGUGAUGGCUUGGAGGGCAAGCACUCAUCUUCGUUCUUUGACUACUUUAGGAUCUUGAAUUCCGUCAAGUCAGCUAUGGCGACAAUGCAGCCUAACCGCUGUAGUACCUAUGCUAUCCAUUAA
rnacentral:rRNA from 1 species